ACGAACGCUGGCGGCGUGCCUAACACAUGCAAGUCGAGCGAGGAAUGUCGGAUAGCUUGCUAUUUGAUAUUUCUAGCGGCGGACGGGUGAGUAACGCGUGAGCAACCUGCCUUUAUCAGGGGGAUAACGCAUCGAAAGAUGUGCUAAUACCGCGUAAGACCACAGCCUCACAUGGGGCAGAGGUCAAAGGAGCAAUCCGGAUAAAGAUGGGCUCGCGUCCGAUUAGCUAGUUGGUGAGAUAACAGCCCACCAAGGCGACGAUCGGUAGCCGACCUGAGAGGGUGAUCGGCCACAUUGGAACUGAGAGACGGUCCAGACUCCUACGGGAGGCAGCAGUGGGGAAUAUUGGGCAAUGGGCGAAAGCCUGACCCAGCAACGCCGCGUGAGGGAAGAAGGGUUUCGGCUCGUAAACCUCUGUCCUAUGGGACGAAGGAAGUGACGGUACCAUAGGAGGAAGCCCCGGCUAACUACGUG
rnacentral:rRNA from 1 species